rnacentral:lncRNA from 1 species
UGUACAGAUGGGGUCUCGCUAUGUUGCCCAGGCUGGUCUCAAACUCAGAUCCUCAAGCGAUCCUCCUUCCUUGGCCUCCCAAACUGCUGAGAAGUGGUCUCACUUUGUCACCCAGGCUGGAAUGCAGUAGUACAAGCAUGGCUCACUGCAGCCUCAACCUGUCAGGCUCACGCAAUCCAAGCUAUCCUCCCACCUCAGCCUCUUGAGUAGCUGGGACUACAAGUGCCUGCCACAUCUAAUUUUUUGUAUUUUUUGUAGAGAUGGAGUUUUGCCAUGUUGCCCAGGCUGGUCUCGAACUUCUGAGCGCAAGUGAUUCAUCUGCCUUAGCCUCCCAAAGUGCUGGGAUUACAGGCGUGAGCUACUUUUUUUUUUUAAACAGAUAAUCAACAGGGCCAAAGCAAUUAAGUCAUUUUCCCAGUCACUUGGCCAAUAAGCAGCAAGUCAAUGACCAGAACAAAUUAUACAACUUUCAUCUUCCCAUAACUGAUCUAAGCCUACCAAAAAAACGGAUGAGACUAGACAGAAGAAACAGUGUCACCUUCAUCCCCGGUCAUCUAGUCAAGAACUACGCAAAAGCCAUAUGUAACAGAAAUCUAGGACCACAGGCUACAGUGCCAUGGCACAAACAUGGCUCAAUGCAGCCUCAACAGCUUGGGCUCAAGCAAUUCUCCCACCUCAGCCUCCAGAGUAGCUGGGGCUACAGGCAUAUGCGCCACUGUGCCUGGCUAAUUUUUUUUUUAAACAGGGUCUUGCCAUGUUACUCAGACUGGUCUCAAACUCCUAGGCUCAAGCAAUCCUCCCACCUUGGCCUCCCAAGGUGCUGGGGUUACAUGCAUGAGCCACCAUGCCCGGCCAUAUAUCCUACUAUUCUUUAAGAUUCAG